GGGAAGGCCCUGGGUUCAAUCCCCAGUAUUUAAAAAAUUGCAUUAGGCCCGCAGAUUUAUUUUUAUAUUUAUUUUUAUAUUCUAAUGUUCUAUACGUUAUGAUCUUUUUGUUUGUUUUUGUUUGUUUUGUUUUAGAACAGGUUCUCGCUCUGUACUCUAGGCUGCCCUGAACUCACUCUGUAGCCCAAGCUAACCUUAAACUCUCGGUUGAUCCUCCUGCCUCAUCCUCCCAGAUGCUGGCAUUACAGUUGUGUGCCACCACACCCAGCUCCUUUUGUGAUCCUAAUGAAUGCCUUUUAAACUAUAAAUUUGAUUUGUGGAAAUUUAUUUAAAUGUUUACUUUUAAUGAAAUUGGUUUCAAACUUACACAAAAUCAUAAAUUAUUUUGAAGCUUUUUUUUCUAGUUUAUCUAAAUGUUGUGGAUAAUAAAUAGUACCAGUCUUAAGGUUGAAGUCUAAGAUAGAAUAUGUAAAACCAUUCAAAGCAAUGCCUGGACAAUAAAAACACAAAAAGUACCUUAAAAAUGGUGAUUGUAGCCAACUGUUACAUAUCUACGUACAUACAUGUACAUAUGUAUGUGUUUUUUCAUUCCUCUGCAGCAAUGUACUUAGAAUAGGAAUGACAGUAAAUCAUCUAGUGUUCCAAUUUAUUUUCUCUGAAAUUUCUUCUAGGCUGAUUUAUCUAUACAGUCUUAAAGCUCUUUUUCAUCUUAAUUUCUGCGUGAGUUCUCUAAAAUGCCACUAAAACACCUCUUUAACAGUGGUGUACUUUUUUGGGCCAGGGAUUUAGCUCAGUGGUGCUGUCACAAGUGCAAGGUCCUGAGUUCGAUACCCGGUACCAAAAAAAACAGUUGUAUACUUUUUUGGUUUGCUAAUUUCUGCUUUAUUCAUUUGUGCUUUCUUUUUUCCUCAGGGUCCUUUUUGCAUGUUACCUGAUUUUUUCCUUUUCAAACCAUAUAAAGAUUUGAGGUUACGAAUUUAACUGAUUUCAGUUUCAACCUCAAAGCCUGGAAGAUUGAUGAGUUCUUUGUAAUCAAACUCUAGAAGAUGAGGAUGCUGUUCUCAAGAGCUGCAUGCUUGGAUGAGACCCUUUCUCCGGAGGGAAUUUCUGCUGGAGACUCUCAUCUCCUCAGCACUUUCUUCGUGCCCACUUCCUGCACAGACGUGGUCAUUUUUCCCUCUGGUAACACUGGCCGUCUGGAAUAUGUUUCUCCUGUAAGAGAAAACACACAGUAUUUUACUUUCUGUGUCUGAUUUACUUCACUUAACAAUACAGUCUCAAGUUCCUGGAAUUCCACUGAAAUCCUUCAGCCAGAACUGAUGAGACCAAGAAUGGACUGGACUGACUGUAGCCGGCAUCUAAGAGACUGGAUCAGCUAGGUUGGUGGUGGGAACCUAAGCUGAAGAGUCACAGGAGCUGUGUUCAGAGAACAAGUGAAGGUGGUAUACUACCAGAGUCCAAAGAAGACACCUCGGUAUUCUCACUCAGGUUCUGGCAAGGCCAGCUGCACCUUAUUUCCUGUUCUUGAAUGUCCAAGAGUUCUUUUGUACCUCUCCAACAAUUUCCCUUUCUGGGCUGGGGGUGGAGUGGAGGGGAUGUAGAUGUUCGUAGCAUGUGUGAAGCCCUGGGUUCAAUCCCCAGCACACGUGUGCGCUCAUACAUGCACACAAGCCUGAGCUAGUCUUGUGAGAGAUUGUUGCUUACUUACUAAGCCACUUUUAAGUUUCUAGUGCAGUUUAGCUGAAGGUUCCCUUGAUCUCUCCACUUUGCUUUGAAUCCUAUCUCCAGUUGCCUUUUCAAAGUAGCACGUCUUCAGUCAUCAUUUCCUCCUCACAUCAUUUCUCUCUUUUACUUCUAGAUCACUCCAUAAGCAUGGAAAGUCCUCCCAUCUGGAAAACAAGGGCCGAGACUGGCAACACAGGCCUGUAAGCCCAGCACUUGGGAGGCAGAGGUUGAAAAACCAUGAGUUUGAGGCUAGCCUGGGCUGCCUAGCAAGUUCCUGUCUUACAAAACAAAACAAGUAAAAACAAAUGUCCUUUGACCCACAUUUCAGCUUAACUUUCACCUCAUUUCUUAGUUUACUGUUCAAUUCAUUCAGAGUGACUUUUGUCUCUGCCACUUUACCACUGUUAGCUCUGAUCAAGGUCAACAUGUCUGUACAGCAAAAUCAAAAAAACUCUUAACAGACUUUGAACCAGUGGUCUGUGAGCUCUGGAGAUAUCUCUGAAGUCAUCAGUGCUAGGUUGAGAACUGUAUGGCCUUCACACAAAAAGCCCCAGUGUGAAUAUUUAUUUGUAAGCAAACAACAGUAUUUUUAUGGAACAUAUGUAAGCAUACAUAUGACAAUAUAUACUGAACAAUAAAGAAAAUUUAUAUACAUUUAUAUAUAUAUAUGUAUAUAUAAAUGGUUCUCUUCACAAUUCUGUGUGCUUCACCAUACCAAGAAAAGCCAUCAAUAUUUUUUAUAUACACACAUUGGUACAAAUACACACACACACACAUAUAUAUACACUAAAAACAAAAAAAUACCUCACUAUAUUUCAACCCUUCAAGCAACACUGAACUCACCUUUCUUCUUUAGGGAGUAUACAGAAUAGUUAAGAGCCUGGACUUCCAAGCUGACUACUUUCACCCAAGUUAUUUGGACUCACUUCACCUUGGGUUUCUCAGACACCCUCCACAUAUUGUGAGAAUGAAAUGGGGAAAUGAGAAUCACUAUGGAAACCCUCUCUUACUGGUUUCCAUUGUAAGACUAUCUUGUGGUUUCCCUCCUGCCUCCCUAGUUAUAUUCUGUACCUUUAACAUUUUACCUUCCCUUUCCCAACCUCCAAAUGCUGGAAUGCCCAGGACUUUGUUCCAGUCCCUUGAUAUCCAACUUCACUGCUUCCUUAGAUAAUCACAAUCUGGUCUCAGUGCUUUAAGUGGCAUUUAUGUGUGGAUGGUUUCCAAAUUUCUCUCCAGUUUGGACCUCUUAAUUGACCACCAGAUACAUGUAUCCAAGUGCCAACUUUAUAGUUUCAGCUGAAUGUCUAACUAAGUCACCUGCCUCAAUUUCUCCCUGUAGGAAACCAGUUUCUUCUCAUUAUUCUCUACCUCAGGUACACAAGCCAAAAUUACCCUUUAUCUCAGUCCCUAAAACCAAAAUAUUCUAUUAUAGAUAUUGUGAGUGCUCUGUCCAAACAUACCUAAACUCUUCCAUGCUGCUUCCAUUUAUACUACAGCCACCAAGUCGAAGCCACUCUCUUGCUCCUGUUUUCUACUACUUAAUCUUGCUUCCCCUGACUCAUCUCCACAGCCUACCCAGUUUUAGAUAGUAAAGCAGGUCACAUCACUCCCCUGCUUAAAAUCCCUUGGUGGUUUUCCAUUGAUCUUGGAAUGAUAUCCAAACCCUUUCUUUACCUUCUACAAGGCCUUGCAAGAUCUGCCCCCUGGGUUCCCUUCCAAACACUUCCCUUCCACAUCACUCUUCGUCUGGGCCAGCCACACUAGCUGCCUUUGUCCUGAACCCCGUCCCACCUAAGGAUCUGGUCUGUACACUCACCAGCCACUGAUGGCUACUAUAAAAACACCACUCUGAGCUGGGUGUGGUGGCGCACUCCUGAAACCUGUAAACCCAGCACUCAGGAAGCUGAGGCAGGAGGAUGGUCAUGAGUUUGAGGCCAACCUGGGUAGCAUAGUGAGUUAAAGGCCAGCCUGAACUACAUAGCGAGACCCUGUCUCAAAAAACAAAAGUUCAAGUGGCUAAUUCUAGGAAGGUGAUUGAAGAGGUAGAUACAAACAGGAAUCUGGACUAUUUUAAAGUUAAAAACAGCCAUGGGCAUCUAUUACUGUCUUUUUACAGAUGAGGAUUCAGAAGCCUCAUGGUCAAGCAGCUGCCCACAGUCACAUGGCCAGCGAAAGGCAGAGUUGGGCUUCUAAAUCCAGACAGUCUGACUCCAGAGCCUGCUCAUUUUGGCUUCUACACUACAGGAUCGAACUUGGGACCUUGAGCUUGAGAGGCUGGCAUCGGAACCACUGAGCUAAAUCCCCGGCCCUUGUUAAAAUCUUGUAUGAUCACUCUAGUAUGUUAAAUUUUGACACUGUUGACAAAUUGUUGAUAUCAGUAAUCUCUGUAUGGGUUGAAUUGUUUUUGGGUUUUUUGGGGGGGUUGUUUUGUUUUCAUGAGACAGGACCUUGCUUUAUAGUUCAGGAUGGCCUUGAACUCAUUAUGUAGCCCAGGCUGGCCUUGAACAUGAUGAUCAUCCUGCCUCAGCCUCUCUCAGCUGUACACCUGGCUAUACAGGUUAAAUUGUGUCCUCCCAAAAAAGAAGCAGCAAUAACCCCCAGUACCUCAGAACUUCACUUUGUUUGGAAAUAGGGUCUUUACAGAGGUAAUCAAGUUAAAAUGAGAUCAUCAAGGGCAGACACAAAAGAGAGUUAAAUUAUAGAAAAAGAAAACUUGGUGUGGUGGCGCACGCAUAUAACCCCUGGUGAGUAGGAAGCCCCUAAGGAGGAAGAGGGAGCAGGGCCACGUUGCCACCCCGAUAGUCUCCAGACUAUAAGAGAGCACACUUCCACCACUUUAAGCUGCCCAAUCUGUGAUAUAUGCAGCCCUAGGAAACUAAUAAACUUUCCCUCCUGAACAGAUUGCUCCUGUAGCAUUCAGGGGACACAACACUGCCAUGGUUUCCUGAGUCACUGUGCUUUGCCUGUCCCUGAAAUGCUCCAGAUAAGCUCAUGGAUGUCACUGCCAUCUAUGAUGACUCCCAAAUCCGCCUUUCACCUAGUUCUCUUCUGUAUCAGACCGACCCUUUCAUCUAAACAGACAACCCCAAAGACAAGUCCAAAAUUCAGCUCAUCACUUUCUACCCCAAAAUCUGUUCCUCAGUGAAAACCUCCCCUGGCCACCAACAUGCUCAAGGCUGGGCCCUAAAAAUUAGACGUCACUUCUGAGUCUCAGCCCCUCAGAACCGGUCAGUUCAACACAUGCUAACAUAUUCUCAUUGCUUGAACCUGUCCACAUCUGUGUUAAUUACCUCACCACAUUACUAUCACUACUUGUUUGAUUACUGUAACAUUCUGACUGUUCCUUUGGCCUGCAGAAAAAUAAAGGCCCAGGGACUGAAGCUAGAGAAUGUACAGAGAGAGAGGGAAAAUAAGAAAGGAGAAAAAAAAAAAAAAUGAGUGCAUCCACCGGGAUUCAACCAUGAAAACAAAGAAUUCCAUGUGAAACAAUUUAGUGCAGAGAAUAAAAUACACAAGUGACAAACAGCUAAGACCAAGGGAUAGUCAGUCAAUAAGGAAAUCAGCAACAGGAAGGCACUGGCACACUUAAGCCGUUAAAGACCAAAAGAAAAAGAAUAUAAACUGGGCAUGGUGGCACGAACCUGUAAUCCCAGCACUUGGGAGGCUGAGGAAGGAGAACUACAAGUUUGAGGCCAGCCUGGGCUACAUAGCAAGUUCAGGGCAAGCCUGAAAUACAAAAGGAGACCCUGUCUCAAAAAAACAAAAACCAAAAAAAGGAGAAGAAUAUAGAGAAGACCCCAAAGCCAAGGAAUCGGAGAGAAUAAGGGUGGAGAAUGAAAUACUUGAAACACAACCUGCAACCAUCAGUCCCACAGCCACACAGAAUGGGGUGGGUGGGUGGGGGGAACAAGUUUGGGAGCACAGAGCUCAAGAAUGACACAUUUCAAGAAUUUCUGUAAAAGUCUGAGUAUUAGAAUCAGAAUAGAUGCUGGGGAUGUAGCUUAUGUAACUUAGUAGUACAACACCUGCCUAGCACACACAAGGCCCUUGGUUGAUUCCUCAGCCCUGCAGGGGGUGGGGUAGAGUGAAACCAGAAUAAAACUAGAUCAAACCACAGAACCAGAGACUGAAGGACCAGGCAGUCUAUAGUGUCAAGUGUAAAAGUUGAGAAGAAAAAAAAA